rnacentral:rRNA from 1 species
UACGUAGGGUCCGAGCGUUGUCCGGAGUUACUGGGCGUAAAGCGCGCGCAGGCGGCUCGUCAAGUCUGGCGUGAAAGCCCCCGGGCUCAACCGGGGAGGGUCGUCGGAGACUGGCGAGCUUGAGGGCGGUAGGGGCUGGUGGAAUUCCCGGUGUAGUGGUGAAAUGCGCAGAUAUCAGGAAGAACACCCGUGGCUAAGGCGGCUCUCUAGUACGGUACUGACGCUGAGACGCGAAAGCGUGGGGAGCGAACAGG